rnacentral:rRNA from 1 species
CACUGAGGUGCGAAAGCGUGGGGAGCAAACGGGAUUAGAUACCCCGGUAGUCCACGCCGUAAACGAUGUCUACUAGCCGUUGGAGGACUUGAUCCUUUAGUGGCGCAGCUAACGCGAUAAGUAGACCGCCUGGGGAGUACGGUCGCAAGAUUAAAACUCAAAUGAAUUGACGGGGGCCCGCACAAGCGGUGGAGCAUGUGGUUUAAUUCGAAGCAACGCGAAGAACCUUACCUACUCUUGACAUCCAGUGAACUUUUGAGAGAUCAAUUGGUGCCUUCGGGAACACUGAGACAGGUGCUGCAUGGCUGUCGUCAGCUCGUGUUGUGAAAUGUUGGGUUAAGUCCCGUAACGAGCGCAACCCUUGUCCUUAGUUACCAUCAUUAAGUUGGGGACUCUAAGGAGACUGCCGGUGACAAACCGGAGGAAGGCGGGGACGACGUCAAGUCAUCAUGGCCCUUACGAGUAGGGCUACACACGUGCUACAAUGGCAUGUACAAAGGGUUGCCAAGCCGCGAGGUGGAGCUAAUCCCAUAAAGCAUGUCGUAGUCCGGAUUGGAGUCUGCAACUCGACUCCAUGAAGUCGGAAUCGCUAGUAAUCGUGAAUCAGAAUGUCACGGUGAAUACGUUCCCGGGCCUUGUACACACCGCCCGUCACACCAUGGGAGUGGGUUGCUCCAGAAGUAGAUAGCUUAACCUUCGGGAGGGCGUUUACCACGGAGUGAUUCAUGACUGGGGUGAAGUCGUAACAAGGUAGCCGUA